rnacentral:rRNA from 1 species
AUACGGAGGGGGUUAGCGUUGUUCGGAAUUACUGGGCGUAAUGCGCACGUAGGCGGAUUGGAAAGUUGGGGGUGAAAUCCCAGGGCUCAACCCUGGAACUGCCUCCAAAACUAACAGUCUAGAGUUCGAGAGAGGUGAGUGGAAUUCCAAGUGUAGAGGUGAAAUUCGUAGAUAUUUGGAGGAACACCAGUGGCGAAGGCGGCUCACUGGCUCGAUACUGACGCUGAGGUGCGAAAGCGUGGGGAGCAAACAGGAUUAGAAACCCCAGUAGUCC